rnacentral:rRNA from 1 species
GACAGAGGGUGCAAACGUUGUUCGGAUUUACUGGGCGUAAAGAGCGUGUAGGCGGCCCGGUAAGUCCGCUGUAAAAGUCAAAGGCUCAACCUUUGAAUGUCAGUGGAUACUGCCGGGCUAGAGUCCGGAAGAGGCGAGUGGAACUCCUGGUGUAGCGGUGGAAUGCGCAGAUAUCAGGAAGAACACCAACGGCGAAGGCAGCUCGCUGGGACGGUACUGACGCUGAGACGCGAAAGCGUGGGGAGCGAACAGG